UACGUAGGGGGGCGAGCGUUGUCCGGAUUGACUGGGCGUAAAGCGCACGCAGGCGGUUGCGCGCGUGGGGUGUGGAAAUCUGGCCGCUUAACGGCCCGAGGCGCCAUCCCAUACGGCGCGACUGGAGUGAUGCAGAGGUCGUGGAAUUGCCGUGUAGUGGUGAAAUGCGUAGAGAUCGGCAGGAACACCCAGGGGGAAACCAGUCGGACUGGGC
rnacentral:rRNA from 1 species